rnacentral:rRNA from 1 species
GUGUCAGCAGCCGCGGUAAUACCGGCAGUUCGAGUGAUGGCCGAUAUUAUUGGGCCUAAAGCGUUCGUAGCUGGCCGAUCAAGUCUGUCGGGAAAUCUGUUCGCUUUACGAACAGGCGUCCGGCGGAAACUGGUCGGCUUGGGACCGGAAGACUCGAGGAGUACGUCCGGGGUAGGAGUGAAAUCCCGUAAUCCUGGACGGACUACCGAUGGCGAAAGCACCUCGAGAGCACGGAUCCGACAGUGAGGAACGAAAGCUGGGGUCUCGAACCGGAUUAGAAACCCCCGUAGUCC